UACGUAGGUGGCGAGCGUUGUCCGGAAUUACUGGGCGUAAAGGGAGCGUAGGCGGUUUUUUAAGUGGGAUGUGAAAUCCCCGGGCUUAACCUGGGAAUUGCAUUCCAAACUGGAAGACUAGAGUGCAGGAGAGGAAAGUGGAAUUCCAAGUGUAGCGGUGAAAUGCGUAGAGAUUUGGAGGAACACCAGUGGCGAAGGCGACUUUCUGGACUGUAACUGACGCUGAGGCUCGAGAGCGUGGGGAGCAAACAGG
rnacentral:rRNA from 1 species